rnacentral:rRNA from 1 species
UGCCCAUUAGCUAGCCCCUCAACUAGAAAUAUCAACCCAUUAUAAAUUAAACCAUAACUCCCCUAACUUAAAUUAGCUAAACCAUUCUCCCCCCUUAGUACGGGCGACGGAAAAGGGAUACGAGGAGCUAUAGAGAAAGUACCGCAAGGGAAUGCUGAAAGAGAAAUGAAAUAACCCAGUAAAGCGCAAAAAAGCAGAGGUUUUUCCUCGUACCUUUUGCAUCAUG